GACGAACGCUGGCGGCGUGCUUAACACAUGCAAGUCGAACGGAAAGGCCCUGCUUUUGUGGGGUGCUCGAGUGGCGAACGGGUGAGUAACACGUGAGUAACCUGCCCUUGACUUUGGGAUAACUUCAGGAAACUGGGGCUAAUACCGGAUAGGAGCUCCUGCUGCAGGGUGGGGGUUGGAAAGUUUCGGCGGUUGGGGAUGGACUCGCGGCUUAUCAGCUUGUUGGUGGGGUAGUGGCUUACCAAGGCUUUGCCGGGUAGCCGGCCUGAGAGGGUGACCGGCCACAUUGGGACUGCGAUACGGCCCAGACUCCUACGGGAGGCAGCAGUGGGGAAUAUUGCACAAUGGGCGGAAGCCUGAUGCAGCAACGCCGCGUGCGGGAUGACGGCCUUCGGGUUGUAAACCGCUUUCGCCUGUGACGAAGCGUGAGUGACGGUAAUGGGUAAAGAAGCACCGGCUAACUACGUG
rnacentral:rRNA from 1 species